rnacentral:rRNA from 1 species
GAUGAACGCUAGCGAUAGGCUUAACACAUGCAAGUCGAGGGGCAGCACAAGGUAGCUUGCUAUCUGGGUGGCGACCGGCGCACGGGUGCGUAACGCGUAUGCAACUUGCCCUAUACAGGAGGAUAACCCGUCGAAAGACGGACUAAUACUGCGUAUGCUCACAACUUGGCAUCAAGUGGUGAGGAAAGAAAUUCGGUAUAGGAUAGGCAUGCGUCCCAUUAGCUUGUUGGUGAGGUAACGGCUCACCAAGGCAACGAUGGGUAGGGGAACUGAGAGGUUUAUCCCCCACACUGGUACUGAGACACGGACCAGACUCCUACGGGAGGCAGCAGUGAGGAGUAUUGGUCAAUGAGCGCGAGCCUGAACCAGCCAAGUCGCGUGAAGGAUGACUGUCUUAUGGAUUGUAAACUUCUUUUAUACGGGAAUAACAAGAGUCACGUGUGACUCCCUGCAUGUACCGUAUGAAUAAGCAUCGGCUAACUCCGUG